rnacentral:lncRNA from 1 species
AGUUGUUGUGUCAUAAAAUCUUCUUGGACUUAUUUUAUAACCCGCCUAUUUGAAGGGUUUCGCAAGGCCUUUGUAUAGCCAGGGCUCCAUGCCUACAUUUCAUAGCUUUCUAGGGCUACUCUUAGUUAGAACUCGCCUAGAAGAAGUCCAGAUUACAAGGCUGCUAGCAAUUGAUUGGACUACGACUGCUAGGGUCGUUUAUGAAGGGUCAUAGGCUGAUAAUGAAGGUCUUAGGAAGGUUGUUGCUGGGGUAAAAGACUAUUUGGAUAUGUUACACAGACUACCUUCAAUUGGGGUUCUCAAUCAUUAUGUGAAACCUGAAUUGCAAUUGCCAGGGGCCCAGUGCUUCAGCUAAGGGCUUAGGUUGGAAGGCAGACUCCUAGCAGGACCGUUCUUUCUUAUUUUUAGAAGAAAGAAUUGGAGAUGGAUUUGGAAUGUUCUAUCUACUUUUUAUCAAAUAAAAUUAAAGGAUAUAUAUCACUAUUUUGGAGAUAAUUCACACAUAUAUACGAGAGCGGGCUCUAGCCGUGUGUGAAAAAACAAACUCUCUCGCCUCCCUCCUCCGUUCCCCGUUGUCUCUCGCAGAUAAUCUUUGAAGGAUAUCUUUAAAGGACGGAUCAUAUUUGAAAAUGACUCAUUUUGUGUGAACAUACUCCACAAAAUUAAGGUGCA